CGCUUGAAUACAUUAGCAUGGAUAAUGAAUAGGACGUUUGUAUUCUAUUUUGUUGGUUUCUUAGGAUCGACGUAAUGAUUAAUAGGGAUAGUUGGGGGCAUUAGUAUUCAAUUGUCAGAGGUGAAAUUCUUGGAUUUAUUGAAGACUAACUACUGCGAAAGCAUUUGCCAAGGAUGUUUUCAUUAAUCAAGAACGAAAGUUAGGGGAUCGAAGACGAUCAGAUACCGUCGUAGUCUUAACCAUAAACUAUGCCGACUAGGGAUCGGAUGAUGUUAAUUUUUUAAUGACUCAUUCGGCGCCUUACG
rnacentral:rRNA from 1 species